rnacentral:rRNA from 1 species
CCUACGGGUGGCAGCAGUGAGGAAUAUUGGUCAAUGGGCGCGAGCCUGAACCAGCCAAGUAGCGUGAAGGAUGAAUGCCCUACGGGUUGUAAACUUCUUUUAUAGAGGAAUAAAGUGAGGCACGUGUGCCUUUUUGUAUGUACUUUAUGAAUAAGGAUCGGCUAACUCCGUGCCAGCAGCCGCGGUAAUACGGAGGAUCCGAGCGUUAUCCGGAUUUCUUGGGUUUAAAGGGAGCGUAGAUGGGUUGUUAAGUCAGUUGUGAAAGUUUGCGGCUCAACCGUAAAAUUGCAAUUGAUACUGGCAGCCUUGAGUACAGGUGAGGGAGGCGGAAUUCGUGGUGUAGCGGUGAAAUGCGUAGAUAUAACGAAGAACGCCGAUUGCGAAGGCAGCCUACUAAACUGCCACUGACAUUGAUGCUCGAAAGUGUGGGUAUCAAACAGGAUUAGAUACCCCAGUAGUC